CAGUUUAAAGCUUAUUAAGUAAAGCAUUUCAUUUACAUUGAAAAGGUUUUUGUGCAAAUCAAUAUAGACUGA
rnacentral:tRNA from 1 species